rnacentral:rRNA from 1 species
CCUACGGGAGGCAGCAGUAAGGGAUAUUGGUCAAUGGGGGAAACCCUGAACCAGCAACGCCGCGUGAGGGAAGACGGUUUUCGGAUUGUAAACCUCUGUCCUCUGUGAAGAUGAUGACGGUAGCAGAGGAGGAAGCUCCGGCUAACUACGUGCCAGCAGCCGCGGUAAUACGUCGGGAGCGAGCGUUGUCCGGAUUUACUGGGUGUAAAGGGUGCGUAGGCGGCUUGGCAAGUCAGUAGUAAAAUCCAUGGGCUUAACCCAUGAACUGCUAUUGAAACUGUCGAGCUGGGGUGAAGUAGGGGAAGGGGGAAUGCCGGGGGUGGCGGUGAAUGGGGUAGGGAUGGGAGGAACACCAGUGGCGAAGGCGGCCUACUGGGCUUUAACUGACGCUGAGGCACGAAAGCGUGGGUAGCAAACAGGAUUAGAUACCCCAGUAGUC